CGUGGGUGGCUGAAAGAUAAACUGUUUUGCUGGUAGUUGUGGUAAUAUAAUGAAAGUUUAGAUGCGAUCACUAUAUAAAUUAAACGAUGAAAAAGCCUGGAAGGAGGAGAGAUGACUAGAAACGAUUCGGUUGGCCGUUUUUUGUCGGAGUAGAGGUCCUUGUGCAUUGUAGGUAAAAUAACAACUCAAUGUUUAUAUCCCAGGACAAAUUAGCUAUCAACAGCAAGCUAGCUAAAUAGGACAAAUUAACGUGAGCUAGCAAGUACAAGCUAACAGGCUAAAUUGCCAUACAUGUUUAAUGAUUUUCGACCUGUCCCCAAAUUAAUGUCAUUGGUUCAGUUUGUUUUGAUAUUUUAACCUGCAUGUGGUGAUCGCGUUUGGUGUGGGGGGGGCAAAAUACAUUUAUGCACGAUGGCGCACAUGCGCAGCGGGUUUGGGUUCGAUGUUAGAUGUCAUGCUAACUCUGACUUCCUGGAGGAAAUCCAGGUGGAGGUGGAUUCUAGGUAGGCUGUCAUCAUUGAUAGUUCAUGAGGACCAACAUUUCAGAUGUUUUUGGAGACAUGGAGACAUGACAUCCUUUCCUCCCACCAUACCUAAAUACCAGAGGAUCAACAUCGGACAUUGGCAGCUGGCAUCACAGUAAAAUCUAAUUUCAUUUGUCACAUGCUUCAUAGACAAAAGGACCUGAGCCCUAGGACCAUGCCCCAGGACUACCUGACAUGAUGACUCCUUGCUGUCCCCAGUCCACCUGGCCGUGCUGCUGCUCCAGUUUCAACUGUUCUGCCUUAUUAUUAUACGACCAUGCUGGUCAUUUAUGAACAUUUGAACAUCUUGGCCAUGUUCUGUUAUAAUCUCCACCCGGCACAGCCAGAAGAGGACUGGCCACCCCACAUAGCCUGGUUCCUCUCUAGGUUUCUUCCUAGGUUUUGGCCUUUCUAGGGAGUUUUUCCUAGCCACCGUGCUUCUACACCUGCAUUGCUUGCUGUUUGGGGUUUUAGGCUGGGUUUCUGUACAGCACUUUGAGAUAUCAGCUGAUGUACGAAGGGCUAUAUAAAUAAAUUUGAUUUGAAUUUGAUUUGAAAUAGUGACAUGAGGAAUAAAUGCCCAGUGAAUAAUGAAUAGAAAUAAAGAGUAAAAACUACAAGGAUAUAUAUAGGGAGGACAAAAUAACAUGGCUAUAUACAGGGAGUACCAGUACCUAGUCGAUGUGCAGGGGUACGUAAAUUGAGGUAGCUAAGUAUUCAGACCCCUUGACUUUUUCCACAUUUUGUUACGUUACAGCCUUAUUCUAAAAUGUAAUAAAUAUUUUUUCCCCCCUCAUCAAUCUACACACAAUACCCCAUGAUGAAAAAGCAAAAACAGUUUUUUAGAUUUGUUUUCUCAUAAAAAAAACAACAACACUGAAAUAUGUAUUCAGUCUCUUUACUCGGUACUUUGUUGAAGCACCUUUGGCAGAGAUUACAGCAUUGAUUCUCCUUGGGUAUGAUGCAACAAGCUUGGCACACCUGUAUUUGGAGAGUUUCUCCCAUUCUUCUCUGCAGGUCCUCUCAAGCUCUGUCAGGUUGUCUGAGGAGCGUCGCUGCACAGCCAUUUUAAGGUCUAUCCAGAGAUGUUUGAUCGGGUUUAAGUCUGGGCUCUGGCUGUGCCACUCAAGGACAUUCAGUGACUUGUCCCGAAGCCAUUCCUGCGUUGUCUUGGUUGUGUGCUGAGGGUCGUUGUGAUGUUGUAAGGUGAACCUUCGACACAUUCUGAGGUCCUGAGUACUCUGGAGCAGGUUUUCAUCAAGGAUCUCUGUACUUUGCUCUGUUCAUAUUUCCCUCAAUCCUGACUAUUCUCCUAGUCCCUGCCGCUGAAAAACAUCUCCACAGCAUGAUGCUGCCACCACCAUGCUUCACCAUAGGGAUGGUGCCAGGUGUCCUCCAGAUGUGACGCUUGGCAUCCAGGCCAAAUAAUUUAAUCUUGGUUUCAUCAGACCAGAGAAUCUUGUUUCUCAUGGUCUGAGAGUCCUUUAGGCGCCUUUUGGCAAACUCCAAGCUGGCUGUCAUGUGCCUUUUACUAUGGAGUAGCUUCCGUCUGGCCACUCUACCAUAAAGGCCUGAUUGGUGGAGUGCUGCAGAGAUGGUUGUCAUUCUGGAAGGUUCUCCCAUCUUCACAGAGGAACUCUGGAGCUCUUUCAGAGAGACCAUCACGGUCUUGGUCACCUCACUGACCAAAGCCCUUCUCCACCCAUUUGCUCAGUUUGGCAGGGCGGCC
ensembl:lncRNA